rnacentral:lncRNA from 1 species
GGAGUCGUGGCAGAGGGGGCACUAACUUGUGGCAGGUGGCACGGCUGCUCAGCGCAAGAGCCGGGUUUGCAGCUGAGCGAGGCUCCUGGUGGCUGUGGGAGGCCCUCGCGUGCCUUCUCCGCGCUCCAGAUCCCUCACCUGCCUUUCUCCCCUGCGUUCCACACCCCGACGUUGGUCUCUAGAGGCGGCCCGGGCCGAGGGCCAGGGCCCGGCUCUUCGCAGGACGGCGGCGUCCUGUGCUGCAGCGGCCACGCUGCCUUUGAUUCCUGCGGACAGAAUGGUUUUGCACGUUUAACAUGUGACCUCAAAGUGUGUGAUUCAAGCAGCCCCACCCGGAGUUCAGUGUGGACCUUCGUAGGUGAAGGGUGGCCGACCCCCAGGGCACCCGCAGGCCCCGACCAGCCCCCCAGCUGCAGCUGGCCAGGAAGGCAACUGGCGGCUCGAGCCCAUCGCCGGGCGAGGCCUAGCAGGUGCUGGGGGGACCCCCGAGCCCCACCAAGCGCCCACGGGAGGCGGCUUCUCUCCACACCGGACAAGAGGCUCCACGUUCCCGCUUUCAACGUGGCUCUAGUCCCAGAAGGACUGGGAAGCGAGCCCGCGGGCCCCACGCCGAGGGCCUGGUGCUCGAGGGCCUGCCUGCAGCCUCCUGCCCGCCGCGACCACGUCACAUUCCCCUGGAAGCCCGCGGGCCACUCCUGGCUCCGCAAUAGAGCCGCUGGCCGCGUGCACCACCUCGCCCGGCCUGCUCGGCCUCCAGCUCGGCUCUGCUCCUUUCCCCGGCGCCCUCAGUGCGUCAGUCUCCCACGCAGGCUGGGCCCUCCCCGGCUGCUCCCCAGCAAUCUAAGCACGGGAAGCCUGUCCUGCAGGGGUCGCGACCUGCCCGCAGAGCCUGAGGCCGCAAGUCCUUGGGCUGCGCCUCCCGCCUUCCCCUCCUGCUGCCCCCUUUCCUCCCCAUCUUUGUUCUCCUUCCUCCCCUUCCGUUGCUGCUUCUGUGACCCUCCAGAGGUGUGA